ACGUCACAGUAGGUCAGUGGGUCUGGCUGUUAACCGGAAGGUUGGUGGUUCGAGCCCACCCAGGGAUG